UUUUCUCAUGGCUAUCCAAAUAUAUACAACACCAAAGUACUUGACUAAUAACAAAAGGGUAGUCCUAUACAUGCCAUUAGCAGAGUUCAACUAAAAGAGUACCAAAAGGGCUUUGAUAGUGUGGGCAACUUCGACUUUGACACUCCCGAGUCCGAUAGCUGACGAACCAAAAACUAUAAAACAGAGAAUUAAAGAAACGGAAUAAGCAUUUAAUGCUUAGUAAGUUUGAGUAAUGAAAUCAUGCACAACUGAUGUAUAGCAUUCAUAUGACUAAACGAAUAAUCUCAUAUACACAUAUUCUCACAAUCAUACCUAUUUCACAUUUCCAACCCUUAUAUCCAUACAUAAGGAAUCAACUUGACUAAAGGCCGGAAGCUUGUUAAUCGAUUGAGAGAAUACUAUUUAAAAGGAAUCAAUUAUCCCAAUGCAUAUACAAAACAUACCUUCUCGUUGGGGUUUUACGAGCGUAUUAAUUGAAAUUAUUAUAGCAAGAUUGCUCAUUCCCAAACCAAGUACCUUCGGAAUUUAGCCGGAUAUAGCUACUUGCUCAAUUGCCUUCGGGACUUAGCCCGGUUAUAGUAACUCGCACAAAUGCCUUCGGGACUUAGCCCGGAUAUAGUAACUCGUACAAAUGCCUUCUGGACUUAGCCCGGAUAUAGUAACUCACACAAAUGCCUUCGGGACUUAGCCCGGAAUUAGUCACUAGCACAAACGCCUUCGGGACUUAGCCCGAUUAUCAUCCGAAUAUUCAUGCACAUAUCCAUAAAUCAUGACACAUCUAUAUUUCAUUUUCAUAAUUAGAAUUCAAACACAAGUCACUUAUCAAGCAUUACCAUCUUCGGCUCAAUAGCCACAUACAAGAGCAUGAUUGUGAUUUGUUUAUAACAUGAUCUAAUCGAAUCAUAAUCUAAGUUCCAUUAUUCGAAAACUUACCUCGGAUGCUGUUGAACGAUUUCAACGGCUACUCGAUCACAUUUUCCUUUCCUUUAUCGGAUUUAGUUCCCCUUUGCUCUUGAGCUUAAUGUUAACAAAUAAGUUGAUUUAAUCAUUUUGAACAUCAAAGAGGAAUUCAAGGUACUUAGUCCAUUUAUAUACAUUAGACGUUAGAGUCAUAUAUAUGAAGUCAUGAACCAAAUUCAACAUAUUGGCUAAUAUUCUCCUUUAGCCGAUUAUCUAAGUCAAGAUAGAAUCAUCGUUAUGCCUGCCUAUAACCGAAUACAUGCAACACCAAUCUAUCUAUUUAUUCAUGUGUGCAUCUUAUUUAAGCAUGUAUGUCCACAAUCAAAUUCAUCAUAUAAAUAUCUAUGAUUUCACUCAAACAAUCUCAAUACAACACAUGGUGCUCAAACCAUUUUUUUCAAAUUCAAAGCUCGGCUAGUACACAUAUAUACACUAGCAAUCAAAUACUAACAUUUGUACUUCAUCUUAAUAGCUAGCUUAGCAAACCUUAAUUUAACACAUAAUUCAUACAUAUCACAUUUCAAGCAUUCACUCAAUUCUAUCACUUAAAACACACACAUUACUCAAUAACUUCCUAGUUUAAAUUCGGCAACUACACCAAUUCACUAGAUGAUUUGUUAUUAUUAUUGUUCAUUUAUUCAAACUACUUACAAUUUCCUUAAACUAUCACAAUUAACAACCAUCUAUCACUUCCAUUUUCUACCAUGGCCGAAUGUUAUAACCCAAGCCACACAUAUUGUUCCUCAAGGCCCUUCAAUGACCACAUUCGGCACCUCCUUAAGAACAACCCAAAUUUCAACCUUCAAGAAAGAAGAAAAAUAUAUGUACUAAGAAACUACUUGGCCGAAUAUCAAACCUCCUAACAAUCAAAACUUAAGCCAUGGAAUGAUUAGAACUUGAACUAACCACCUUCUUUAUACAUAAUUUUCCAAGAAUUUCAAGGUACUUACCUCUUUCUAAAACAUUCAUCCAAACCGAACAUAAAGCAAGAGAACUCCUUUCUUCUUCCUUUGAUUUUUCGGUCAAGAAGAACAAAGAGGAUGAAGCCUUUUUUUUCUUUUUCUUCUUCUAGGUAUGGCAAAAUGGGGGAGCAAGGAUGAAACAACUUUUGUUUCUCCUCCCACUCCCCUCAUAUUUUAUUGUUCUUCCCACAACAUGUUAUCACAAAUUGUUUAUAAUGUGUUUUACCCAUCACAUUUUGUCUAUCCUCAAUGUCAUGGCCGGCCACUACUAGUUAAGUGGGGAAAUUGACAUGCAAGUCCACCCUUUUGAUUACAUGCACUAGUAAAUCCUUAUAGAUUAACCUAUCACAUUUCAAAAGUGUCACACAUAAGUCCUAUUAACUAAAUUCACAUGCAAUUAACUAAAUCGAAGCUUAAAACUUUCACACAUUCAUAUUCACAUAUUUUAGACAAUAAUUAUCAUAUUCAAAUAAUUUGGUGACUCGGUUUAGCGGUCCCGAAACCGCUUUCUGACUAGGGUCACUUUAGGGCUGUCACACCACUAGCACGUUAUCAGUAAUAAAUAGACCUGAGACAAAGGCACUCUGUGCUUUAUCAAUACACCCAUCUAAAACAUUUUGAAAUCUAUUGGCUACCACAUUUGCUAUUUUUUAUAAAGGAUAUUGCAAAGACUGAUUAGUCUAAAAUUUUUCAUAUCUGUAGGUUGUGAGGUUUUAGGAAUCAACACUAUAUUUAUGACAUUAAUGCUAUCAAUUUCCUUUCCCUGAUUUAAAAUUUCUAGACAAAAAGAAGUUACCUCACUGCUAACAAUAUCCCAGCAUUUUUGAAAGAAAAUUGCAGGGAAUCCAUCAUCACCAAGAGCCUUUGUAGGGCCCAUUAACUUCAGCGCCGUCCGUAAUUCUUCGGUAGUGUAGUUUUCCGUGAGCUGUGCAUUAUUUCCUUCAUCAAUACUUCUUUCCACUCAUUCCAAAAUCAAUUCAGGAUCAUUAAUGCCUCUUGACAUAAACAGGUCCUGAAAAUAAUUCUUUACAAUCGUUGCCAUCCUUCCUUUUUCAUUCACGUAUUCCCCAAUAUUAUUCUGUAAGCUAUUGUUGACAUUAGCUUUAUUUCGCUGAGUGGCCUACCUAUGAAAAAAUGUUGUGUUUCUAUCUCCCGAUUUUAGGCAGUUUGUACGUGCUCUUUGUUCCCAAUAGGUUUCAUCUUUAUCAAUUUCCAAAUUAAGAUGUAUUUUUGUAUCAAUAAUUUCAGCUAGGUUCUCAUUGUUUCUAUCCUCCUCCAAUAAUCUGUUCAGUUUCCUUUGUAGAUUCUGCUUGAUCCCUUUUCUGUCUUUCUUUAUUUGUAGUGCCCAUUGACUAAUUAUUAGCUUUAGACCAUCCAGCUUAUCCAGUAGCGUCCCUGAUGAACUUUCCAAAAAAUCCAAAACCAUCUUCUCGAAGGUGCUUUCAAGUAACCACCAUGCUUCAAAACAAAACAUAGUCCUUUGCAAUUUCUUCUUUGCAAUUUCUUCUUUUCAGUAGACAAAAGAAGAGGAUAAUGACCAAAGUGUGAAUAAGAAACAUGUUGAAUUCGUGCAUGUGGAAAAGCCGAGAACCAAGCUUCAUUCACGAUCCCUCUGUCGAGCCUUUCCUGUAUAUUUAUUUCAGCUAAAUUACCCCUUUCCCAUGUGUACCAUAAACCAGAGAAGCCUAUGUCCAUUAAUUGGUACUCUUCAAGAGCAUUGUGAAAGGCUUCCAUUCUCUUUUCCUCUCUUGGAGCCCCUCCUCUCUUCUCAAAUGCAUAAAGAAUUUCAUUAAAAUCCCCACAGACGAUCCAGGGAUGAGAUCUGAUCCUUCUUAAUCUUUUUAACAAGUUCCAAGUGUUGCACCUCUCAUUCAAAAAGGGGUUGCCAUAGAAGCCUGUAAAAUUCCAUUCUACGCCAUCCUACUUUUCUUUAAUCAGGCUAUCAGUGUGAGUUUUUGAGCUGCUAAUUAUUGUUACCUUUAUGUCCUGUUUCCAUGCCAAUGAUAAGUCACCUUUCGAACCUUCUGCUUGCACAUCGAAACCAUACAUAUACCCAUAUCUCCUUCUAAUCUUUUUCAUUCUCGUAGCAUUCACUUUUGUCUCCAUAAUGAAGACCAAUUGGGGAUUGUAUUGCUUCAGUAAAAAUCAAAAUUGUUUAAUUGCUCGAGGACUCCCCAAUCCUCAAACAUUCCAGCUUAUUAUUUUCAUUGGCUCCAGUCGGCUUGCCUAUUGGCAGCUGCUGAUCCAACAAAUGGAGGUACCAUCAUUUUUUCUCCUAUUUCCUCUAGGAUAGAAGAAUUAUUCUCAUUAAAAUUCAUUCUAAGCUUUUUGUGGGUUUUAGCAUCAUCGUUCAAAUUUCCACGUAUUUCCACCUCAGAUGUAGAGCUUUUCCUCUUGCAACUAGUAGAUUCCAUUUGAACAUAUUCAAUUUUCCUUAUUCUUCCUUUGCGCGUCCAUCUCGAUUUUUUGUGGUUUCCUAGGAAGCCCAUCUCAGCUGUAUUGACAUUUAUACCAUUAUUUACUAUAUCCUCCCCGCCUAUAAAUUCUGUAAAACUAGAGGUAGUAUCAGUGCCUCUAGCUUCUACUCCUUGUUUCGUAUUUAUCGCCUUUACCUCUUCACAAAUCUUCUCAGUGGUUAAUUCUGCAUGUAUCUUAUUCCCCAGCUUCACCUUUGCACUUGUGUCAUAAACUUCUUUUAAUAUAUCCAGAGAAGAAGUCCUUUCGUCGUCCUCCCCUGUAUAUAUACAUUGCUCCGUGGAUUUCUUCUCUAUCGUGCCCAGUUGUAAACUCUCUCUUCUCAUUAAUUUUGACUCGGCUUUCAGUGCUAUUGAGUAGGGUAGAUCUCCGUCUCCUAAAAAUUUCCCCUGUUUAAUCGUAUCAGUACAGUCUUUUACUAUAUGGCUCAUUAUUCCACAGCCAAAACAAAAAUUUGGUAGGGAUUCGUAUUUAAAAGAAAGUCAAACUCUUCUUGUAGCCCCUACAACAAUAAAAAUACCUCUUCGAAAGGGUUUUCUAGCAUCCAAUAGAAUUUGUAUUCUGCAUAUUUCUCCCUUUAUAUCCGAAUGUAAAAUACCUCCAAAAGCUGAUCCUAUCGCAUGCAUCAGGUCCUUUGGACCACGUUCUGGAGGACACGGGCUGAUUCUUAACCAAAAAGGAGAAAAGAUCAAUUUUAACUUACUUCUUUCUAUCGCCUCUGUCAACCUCUCAAAAAUAAUUAACUGUCUUCUAAAUAACCAAGGUCUGCCAUUCAUGGUCAUCUCCAAAUCAUCUUCAUCGUCAAAUGAAAUCUGGAACAGAUUCUGACCUACCGUAUAAAUGUCAAAAUUUCUUUUUGUUUUCCAUAUACUUUUAAUUUGCACACGAAACCCAUCAGGAUUAUAAGUCUUUCGUGUCCACACCGAGCACAAUAGAGAAGAUUUGCCCCUUGGUGUGACCAAUGAACUCUUAACUGUCAAUUGAACUAGUUCGUCUGCAAGAAUAGAAAUCUCCUCACCUGCCAUAACGGCCAAAGGUCACCGCCCCACUCCACCCCAACCACAGCGGCACCUGUUUAUUUGGAGAACUAAGAGAGAGCACCCUUGACCUAAUUUAAAACAGUUUUAAUGAUAAUUUUUUAUUAGAAAUGUGUAAUUUAAAUUAUUUAUUUUAUAUAAAAAUAUAAGUACUUUUUAUUGAAUAUAACUAAAAUUAUUUAUAUUAAAAAAUUUAAAUCCUCGCAAACUAGGAUAAAUAAUCUGGGUUUUUGUUAAUGAACUCAAAUAAUCCAGAUACAUGGAAGUAAUUUGGUUAAAAUAUGUCAUAAGUUCUCUACUCUUUGUAAAUUUGAAACUUAGUCUAUUUAUUUUUGUAUAGAGACCCUUGUAUUAAGAGUCGAUUGCAUAUUUGCCCUCACCUCAAAAAUGGGUAAAUAAGUCCCUAUAUAUUAGAUCAAAAAGCAAAUUAAUUAUUUCUGUUAAAAAUUUCAUUCAUCUCUACUGUUAAAAACUUCAAUUAUCUCUAUUGUCAAAAACUGGUGUGGCUAACAAAAUAAUCAGAUAGUGACACAUCGCAUGCCGCACAUAUCUCAUGCUGAUAUAUAGAGACGAGUUUUUUAACAACAAAAAUGGAUUAUUUUUUUAACAAAAUGAUCAAUUUGCUCUUUGAUCUAAUGUAUAAGGAUUAAUUUGCUCAUUUUUUAUAUAGAUUGGGCAAAAUGUAACCUGGCUCUUAGUGUAAGGGACCUCCAUGGUGUUUUUACUAUCCAUCUACUUUUCAAAUUUUAAAAUAUAAAUUCAACUGUUAAUACUAUUUAAUUUUUUUGUUAAAUUAAGAUUCAUGAUAAUGUUAUUUUUUACUUAUAUGAGUAUUUUUUUCAUUUCAAAAUAUCACAACCAUAAAUUUAGCAAACAAAAAUUUAAUAAUAUUAAUAAUUGAAAUUAAAAUUUAAAAUUUAAAAUUUAAAAAGCUAUGGCAUAUUUUAAGGAUAUAAUUUCAUCGUUGAAAACCAAGCAGGAAUCUGCAGUUCUACCAUAUACAGGUAUUACAGCCAAAACAAGCGACGAAAGCAUAGGAAAACACUAAUGCACUAAGAUUCAGCACCCAACUUUGGCAUCGGAUGAAUCCAUAAGUUUGUUUUGUAACAUUGGACUGACAGUUCAUUAUUGUAUGAGCCUUUUAAUUUACUUGUUUUAGUGGAUCUUCAUUAUCCAGGAAGGUUAACCUAAAUUAUACCGUAGAUGGAAGGUCAAAUUCUUAGAAGGCCCUUGUACUAUGUUUUUCUUGGCAAAUUUAGUUUCUCCAUUAUAAUAUUAUCACUUGUGUCCUUUGCUUUUUCAAGUGUCUUGCAAUCAAAAUUUUCCCUUAAUUCCAUCAAAUUACAAUAUAUAUAUAUAUAUAUUAGCCCUCUAUUUGAUUUUUUACCUCUUUUAACUCUUGAAUUUGCACUGUCUGUCAAAUUAUCUAAAAAUAGAUAGAAAAAUUAAUAUUUGUUAAUUUUGUUGAUGUGACAUGCACAUGAAUUGCCAUGUACGUUAGCAAUUAAAUUUUUUCAAAAUAGUAUAAAAAUUAUAAAAUGUUUUAAAAAAUUAAUUAAUUAUUAAUACGACAUACACGUGGAUGCCACAUUAACAAAGUUAACAAACAUUAACUUUUAUAUCUAUUUUGGAGUGAUUUGACAAAUAGUGUAAAUUUAAGAGUUAAAAGAGAUAAAAAAAAUUAAAUGAAGAACUAAAAUAAUUUUUUUUAUAAAGUUAGAAGGCCAAAUAAGUUAUUAUAGUAAAUUUUUUAAAUAUAUUAUUUGAUGAAAUGAUUAGAAAAUAGUUGACCUCAUAUAAUUGCAGACAAUUGGCAAAGGUAGAAACAAAUAAGGAGAGCAAGUGCAGUUGCUGUCUAUGUCCACUGGGGGAAUCAAGAAGACACUGCAGGACAUGCGAAGACGUUAAGUUUGGUGUGUUUAAAAAUGAGAAGAUUUUGGAAGUUAAGAUCAUAAUUUCCUGCUCAUUUAUAAAAGAAAAUAGCAGAGCCGGCCAUGGGAUUCCAAUAAUCAUUGACAAAUGGCAAAACCGGCUUCUAUUUGGUGACUUUAGCCAUGGAAAAAACCUACUCCACAUUGUACCUUUUAAGGUAAAUUAAUACUACUUUGAAAGCUAAGGAAGUAAUUGAAUGUUAGGAAUUAAAAGCAAUAAUCACUUAGUAUCGAUUUCAUUUUGAAAAUUUCAUUUUCGGAAUGUGAAAAAGUAUUGUAAAAUUAAAAUAUUUCUUUUAGAGAAAUUACAAAUAAAUUAAAUUAGAUAAUAUUUAAUAUAAAUAUACAUAAAAAUAUAUAUUUUAAGGGUGAGUAUUUGGUACCCUAAUAAUAAACUUAAAAAUUUGUUAUGUGUCUCUUUCUUUUAACAUAUAUAACUACGUCAUUUUAUCCCUGACAAUGCACCAAAUAUAUUUUUUUCAUAUUUUAAAUAUAAUAAUAAAUGAUAUUUAAAGAAUUUAAUACAACAAUACAUAAAAUAUAAAUUAAUCUAAAUUUUUAAAUCUAUUUUAAAUAUUUAAUACAAAUAAGGUAUUUUGAUAAUUUAUACUUUAUAGGCAAAAAAUCAAAAAUAUCAAAACUCCGAACUUUUAGGUUUGGAGUGAAAAAAAUAUUUUUUAACGUAUUUUUACCCUUAAACGUCAAGUGGGAUUAUUUUUGGGUUGGGUGAAAAAACAUUGUUUCACCCCCAAAAGCAAUUCCGAAUGUUUUUAGAGCAAUUAAGUGAAGACAGUUAAGGGGCUCAUGUAUUGUCGUUUUAGAAGAAUAUUAGACCAAAAAAUAAAUGGUAAAUUAUAUCUAAGGUUUCUAAAUUAUUAAUAAGUUUACGUUUUGUUCACUUAACUUUAAAAUGUUAUAAAAUAAUCAUUGAAUUAUAGUCAUUCACCUAUUUCAAAGUUUUAUUUAAUUUAUUAGGCUAUUAAGUUUUUUUAACAAAUAAAGUUCAGCUACCAAGCUCUAAGUGAGGAUUUGAAGAUUGGUACGGUGAAUCAAUACCCAUUGACAAGUAGAAUAUGCAUUAGAUAUAAGUCAAUUUGACAAUUAAUGUUAAAGAUCAAAGAAAAAACUAUUUAAAUUUUAAUUCGUAGAUUCGUGAUGUUUAAAGUUGUUUCAUUAAAAAAAAAACCGAACUAUAAAGAGGAGGUGAAGGAGAGCUUUUAAUUGGUCAUACAAUAACUAUUUUAACAAUCGAAUAAGUUCAAUGAAAACUUUCAAAUAGUUUAGUGAUAUUUUAUAAUUUUUAAAAAUGAUAUUGUUUACCUAUAUUCAGAACAAAAUUGAGGUAUUACAAAUGGGUUUUCGUUGAUUUCAAAAUUAGUAUGCUGGCUGAGAAAAUUACCUUUAACGAUGAGUUUGCUUGAUAAUGACUACAGUUUGGUUUACAAAAAUGUCUCUUCUGCACAUUUUUUCCCUUUUUUUUUCCCUAUAACACAGAGACAAUAGAAAAGUGAAGUCUUUGGCAUAGACAAGUCAAAUAAAAAAUUCCAAACGGAAAGGAAACAGAGUAACAGUGCUAUAAAGAAGAGUGAUUUGCACAGCAUACCAGUGCAUUGAACGGUCCUUUAACUCUCAACCACAAAACCUUAAAGGGGGGAAAAGAACCAAUUGAAAUGAGAAUUUGUGGAGGAAAAAGGUCAAUGUUCCAAGUUUCUGUUCCUCCCAUCUCAUUACUUGCCACCAUAAUCUGCC
rnacentral:lncRNA from 1 species